rnacentral:sRNA from 1 species
AGAGCCUUCAAGCUGAAACCCAAAAAGAAGCCUUCCCCGGCGGGAAGGCUUCUUUUUGGUUGUGCUGCUGAACUGCAGCCGACUGGACAAAAAAAGAGAGACAGGCGGCUCAUGCCGCCUGUCUCUC